rnacentral:lncRNA from 1 species
AGGACAGGAAUGUCAUAUCAAAAUUUCAUAAGUGUAGCCCUCCAAGGCCCUCCGGAAGAAUGGAGGUUAGGGACAACCUGAGAAUCAGCCAGUUGGAAGGAGCAUGGCUUUCAGAAAGAAAUGGGCCCCAUCAAACUCCCUCUGUGGUGAACAUAAGUGAUUGCUGAGUGAAUACAUGAAAGAAUAAAUGCAUCAUUACAAACAGGAAGAGUUUUGACAUUUCCUAAGGGG